rnacentral:rRNA from 2 species
CUACCCGCUGAACUUAAGCAUAUCAAUAAGCGGAGGAA